rnacentral:rRNA from 1 species
GAGAGAGAGACAUGCGCGCAUAUCAAUAAGCGGAGGAAAAGAAACUAACAAGGAUUCCCCUAGUAACGGCGAGUGAAGCGGGAAGAGCUCAAAUUUGAAAUCUUAAAGGGUUUCCCUUUACGAAUUGUAGUUUAAAGAAGUGUUUUCUGUUGAGGUUUUGGUAAAAGUUCUUUGGAAUAGGACAUCAUAGAGGGUGAGAAUCCCGUAUUUGACCUUUACUUUCAACUUUGUGAUACACUUUCAAAGAGUCGGAUUGUUAGGGAAUGCAGUCCAAAAUGGGUGGUAAAUUUCAUCUAAAGCUAAAUAUUGGCGAGAGACCGAUAGCGAACAAGUACCGUGAGGGAAAGAUGAAAAGAACUUUGAAAAGAGAGUUAAACAGUACGUGAAAUUGUCAAAAGGGAAGCGUUUGACACCAGUGUUGUUUUUCUGAAAAUCAAUUAAAGAACUGUUUAUGCUAAGUUGUUUAGACUUUAUCAGCUAACUGUUUAGUUUUGAGCUUUUCUUUAAUGCACUUUUCAGUUAACAAGUCAACAUCAAUUUCUUUUGCUGUAAAAAAGCUUGAGGAAGGUGGCUUGAGAUUCGUCUUAAGUGUUUAUAGCCUCUUGCCUAUGCAGUCGGAGAGAUUGAGGUCUGCAGCGUAGAUCCUUCGGGGCUAAAUGCAUUUGUGCUAAGUUAUAGCAUUUUAUAGACAACUUGUUGACUAUGAUUUGUCUUGUAGCUUACUCGCUUAUGUUAUUUUACCUACGCUUAGGAUGUUGACGCAUGAGAUAUACGC